GGCUGGCCAGCAGGCGGAGGCAACACCCGGAGCUGGGAUCCCGGGCCGGAUCGCAAUGAAAGGGUGCUGGCCGGGAGCUCCCCGCCCUUCUCCCCCCACCCGGGCCGCUCCCGGCCGCCCCGGGCUUGGCGUGCCUCACGGAAAGAGGGGGAAGGGAAGCGCAGCGGGUCCGCAGCUGCCGCUGUAGAGACGCUCACAGGCUGGCCGGGCCGUGCAGCCUGCCCACCCCGGUUUACGAAACAGCCGUCGUGGAAAGUAGGAAGUUUCCACCUUCUACUGGGGCCGCGUUCCCUCGGAGGUGGGCAGGGUGUGGGGCAGCCUGAGGGACGCUGCGAGGAACCCCGGUGAAGGGCCGUGACAGCAUCCUUUUGGGCUCCCUACCCAACAAUCCUGCCCGAGGCUCCCUAUUCUUUAGGGAAAACUGCACAUCUGUGCUCCCCCCCGACACACACACACUCACACUCACUCACUGCCCUCCCCGUUCUGAUUUUAUUUUUGAUCUUUCCCUCCCGAUACAAGAACGCAACAUGCCACUGAAUGGACUUCUAGCCUCCCGGUCCUAAGGACGAGGAUGGGGUGCCGAGUCUCACCGAGCCACGGAAGGGGUGGGUGGAACUGGUCGGGGUGAAGGGGGAGAGGGUGUGAGAGUGGACGGAAGGAGGGGCACUCCCUCUACAGAAACCCGAAGGAGUCGAAAGCCGAGGCAGGGAGAGAAAGAGGACGCCGCCGGGGUGGACAACUCCGACUCAGAGACGGAGCUCCUCCGCGCGCGCGAUCCAGCUCCCGGUUUUUCCUCAGCUCGGUCCCAGGGCUUCUGGGGUCCCCUUCCCCCAGGUUCCCCAGCUUUCCCGAGCCCCGCGGGUCUCUGCCUCCGAUCUGGGCGCUCGUCUCUUCGCUCCACACCUCGAUCUAGGCAGCGGGAAGCCCACCCGAGUUCUUGGAAGGAGCCGGAGAAGAACGGGGCGGAGAGGGGGCGCGCGAGAAAAGGCCGCCGAGCCCGCGCUGCCGCGCUGACCACUCUCCCUGAGGUCGGGCUGGGGGCCGAGGUCCUCCGAGGUCCGGCCGCCGCUCGGCUCAGACCCGGCUCCCCCGGGGUUGCAAUGUUGAAGUCAGUGGCAUAACUAAUGCUCUAAAUCUAAGAAUUCUGUUGGAGUGAAAUAUUCCACAAUCAGAAUCUUUUGGUAAGUUCAUAUCUGUCAAGCCCCACCCAAACCCUAUUAAAAAUUCCUUUGGAAAAUUGUGAAGCUUCUAAACUUCCCAGUCCAAGCAACUAAGAUUGGAUGUGAUUGCCUAGAAAUUACUGCCCUUUCACACAAACCAAGAUAUAAAUAUCUUAAAAGAAUUUUGGCUAUGGCAUAACAUAGUAUGAGGAAUGCAGAAUAAAAGAUGUAAGGU
rnacentral:lncRNA from 1 species